rnacentral:rRNA from 1 species
UAGGGAAUCUUCCACAAUGGGCGAAAGCCUGAUGGAGCAACGCCGCGUGUGUGAUGAAGGGUUCCGGCUCGUAAAACACUGUUGUAAGAGAAGAAUGACAUUGAGAGUAACUGUUCAAUGUGUGACGGUAUCUUACCAGAAAGGAACGGCUAAAUACGUGCCUG